CAGCAGCCGCGGUAAUACGUAGGGUGCAAGCGUUAAUCGGAAUUACUGGGCGUAAAGCGUGCGCAGGCGGUUAUAUAAGUCAGAUGUGAAAUCCCCGGGCUCAACCUGGGAACUGCAUUUGAGACUGUAUGGCUAGAGUGUGUCAGAGGGGGGUAGAAUUCCACGUGUAGCAGUGAAAUGCAUAGAUAUGUGGAGGAAUACCGAUGGCGAAGGCAGCCCCCUGGGAUAACACUGACGCUCAUGCACGAAAGCGUGGGGAGCAAACAGGAUUAGAUACCCGUGUAGUCCCUGUCUCUUAUAC
rnacentral:rRNA from 1 species